rnacentral:lncRNA from 1 species
AUGGACAGAGAGCAUCGCAGAAUGCUAACAACCACCAUCUUCAUCCUUAUCACCAAAGAGCGUAUUUGGAUAAGAGAAGCUAUAACCAAGGAAAAUAUAAAAGACCAGCAUGGAAUUGUGUGGAAGACAUCAAGAAUCUUGAAGAAAGUACGCAUGACAAACAAAGUGGGGAAUGUUUUUAAGUUAUAUUCUGGUCUCCUUUGGCUUGAUUUAUGAGAACCAUCUGAAGAAAUUUGACAAUGGUGGUGUUUUGGAGAUGUGCCUUGGUUUCUAACUUGGCUGAUUGUGCUUUGAAGUUUCAAAGUAAGUUUUAAAGAAUUUGAGGUUCGCUCAAACCCCAAAUAUGGCUUGCAUGUAUCUUCUGUUUUGUUUUUAUAAAGGCACUUGUAAUAUAAGAGAAAUUAGAUCUCUUGGAAUGUUUACCCUCAAAUAAUUUAAUAAAAACCCAUUUUGGCUUUCUUUAAUGAUGUAC